UUUAUUAUUUUUUAUAAAAUUAAUGAGUUUUUAAAGCUUUAACAAUUAAUUUACAUAGUACACAGUAACUACUAAAUUUAACCUAGUCUAUAAAAUUACAGUAUAAAAAAUUCGAGUUAUUGUCAGGGGGUUAAAUUAGUGCCAGCAGCUGCGGUUAGACUAAACUCUUUUUGUGUUGUAGGGAGUGUUUAUUAUAUCUUAGAAAAAACGAAGUGGUAGAAAAUAAAAAAAUUUAUAUAGUGAUAUUUAAACCAUAAAACAAAAAAAAUAAAAUAGGAUUAGAUACCCUAGUAUUUUGUUUAUUAGUCCUUAUCAUUAAAAUUAAAAUAAGAAUAUUUGGCGGCUUUAAGUUAUUAGAGGGGCUUGUCAAUAAACGAUAACCCGCGUUUAUUCCCACUUAAUUGAAUUUUGUAUACCUUCGUAUAGAUUAUCUUUUAUGGUUAAUAAUUUUUAAAAACAGAUCAAGGUGCAGAUAUUUUUAAGUUAGAUUAGCCACAAUACUCACUAGUAUAACGAAAAAUAAACUAUCAGGUGGAUUUAAUUUUAAUUACUAUACUUAUGACUAUAGGUCUUAAAGUGUUCAGAUCGCCCGUCACUCUCUAUGAGAUAAGUCGAAACAAAGUAAGCUUACUGGAAAGUAAGCCUA
rnacentral:rRNA from 1 species